AUUGAACGCUGGCGGCAUACCUUACACAUGCAAGUCGAACGGCAGCAUGAUCUAGCUUGCUCGAUUGAUGGCGAGUGGCGAACGGGUGAGUAAUACAUCGGAACGUGCCCUGUAGUGGGGGAUAACUAGUCGAAAGAUUAGCUAAUACCGCAUACGACCUGAGGGUGAAAGUGGGGGACCGCAAGGCCUCAUGCUAUAGUAGCGGCCGAUGUCUGAUUAGCUAGUUGGUGAGGUAAAGGCUCACCAAGGCGACGAUCAGUAGCUGGUCUGAGAGGACGAUCAGCCACACUGGGACUGAGACACGGCCCAGACUCCUACGGGAGGCAGCAGUGGGGAAUUUUGGACAAUGGGCGAAAGCCUGAUCCAGCAAUGCCGCGUGUGUGAAGAAGGCCUUCGGGUUGUAAAGCACUUUUGUCCGGAAAGAAAUGGCUCUGGUUAAUACCUGGGGUCGAUGACGGUACCGGAAGAAUAAGGACCGGCUAACUACGUG
rnacentral:rRNA from 1 species